rnacentral:lncRNA from 1 species
CUGGGAAAUUGGAGCAGGGCUCGCGGGGACAGCGGCCCUCUCUGCUGGCAGGCAGGGGAUGCUUUCGGGAUGUCGAAUUUCUCAUUUCCCUGGAAAACCGGGAGGAGGAAUCUGCCCCAAUCCUUCCCCCAGGUUUUGCCAUUCCUGGAGGGAAGGAAUUCCAUCGGUGGUGGGAGCUGCUGGAAUCAUCUCAGCGCUGAGGACACCGGGCCGUGCCCAGGGCUGGCACUCAUCCCCUCGGCCAGGGAGCGGCUCCCGAGGCAGGAUUUGUCCCUGGAUGUCUCCUCUGCACCGGGACCCCGAGCCCUGAGCCUCGGCUGGGAUUUGGACGCUCCCUCCCGUCUGCAGCUGGGAACGGCACGGCCGGGAGGCUGCAGGCACCUGCUCCUCCCAAAUCCCGCGGAUUUACUGCUUCUGGCACCUUCCUGCUGGGAAUGGCUCCGUCCCAGGGAAUCUCCCGAGGGACAGAUGUGGGAAAGCAGCACUUAGAGGUUACAAUUCCUUCUUUUUCUGCGCUGCUCCUGAAUCCCGGCUCUGGAGGAGGAAGGAUCCCAUGCACUCCUGGAGGACAAAUCCUGCUGCUCCGAGGUGAGUCAAGAAAAUGUAUUUUUCCUUUAUUUUUUUUCCUUAAAAGCACCUUGGACUUCUUGGAAAAUGAUAUUUUCCCUGUCUUGAGAAAAAAAAUGCCCAAUGCAGGGAGCUGCUGUGAGGGGAUGAGGGAACAGACAGGUUUGUUCUGACAGCUGGGCUGGCUGCUUUAAUCAAAUUAAUUUAAUCAAAUCAAAUCGAAUCAAAAUCAAAUCAAUUUCAUCAAAAUGAAUUUUUCAGUGCCGUCCCAGCUUGAAAUCCCCAACAGGAGUUUUCUUCCUGGAGUUUUAUUGCUGAGUAAUGGAUAAAAGGUUAAAGGCUACAGAUUCCAGGGAGGUUUUCCUUUCUUUCCCUCAGGAGGGGAAUCCUGAUGGUUUUCCACUCUCCUGAGCCAGAGGUGGCUGCAGGGGGAGCCUUGUCAGGGGCACUGGGGACAUCCUGAGGGGCUCCUGGUGGCUCCAGGGGAGGAGCUGAAAGGCUCCCUCCAGCCUGUGAACCUCCUUGGGAUGGAGAAUCCCAAAUUUCCUGCUAGAAAACGAUGCCAGAUUUGGGAUUUUGAGGGGACUUUGUCAUCUGACACGGGACAAGAGGGUGACACGGGACAAGAGGAGCUGCUGGGAACAGCAGGGGAUUGGGGCUGUGUGGCCUGCGAGGAGGAGGAGGAGGAGGAUGGAAUGGGAUGUCUUGGGUGGGGAAUGAGCUGCUGCUGACCACAGAUCCAGGAGGGUCUGGUGCUUCCCAGAGGGGGCAGAGGCAGAGCUGGAGCUCGGAGUGGCUGGAUCAGCUCUUGAUUUCAGUCCUGCACCUGUUGGAAUGGAGCAGGGGAGCUUCAUUUUCCUCUCUGCCAGUUCUGAGUGGUGCUGGUGCAGCCCAGAUGCUUCCCAAUCCCUUGGGAUUGUGG